CAUGCAGACUUACACUGUAGAAGGAAGGAAAUCACACAAUUAAAAUAACCACCGGCAGUUUCGAAGUCUCUUUACCGCACUCAUAACAUUUCGGAAUGAGAAAAUGCCUUUCGACCCACGAAGGCUCGUCCCUUCUCCUCACACCUGUUAUAUCUGAGGUUACCCAGAUUAACAUGGAAGGGGGUUUGGGGUCAAAGUGUGCGGCCAUAUAUUCUUCAGAAGCUGUUCUGUUUGGAGCCAGAAAAUAAAUAAAAUGCACAGCUACUGAAACCGGAACUGGUGUUGUGUUUUUUUUUCAAAAUGAUCGCUGCAUCAGUACAGGGUACAAUUCUACGAUGCAUUUCUCGCAACAUUCGCCUACAGGAAAUGAUGUGAGCUUCCACCCUGUGCAGUGCUGCUGUUUUGCAGAGCUGUGAGGACGCAGAAAUACUGAAGUAUUUGUACUUAAACCAGCGUUUGUCAUUUGGAGUGAAAGACUGAGUGGCUUCAUUCCACUGUCAGCGCUGCUAUUGGCUCUCUCCUCAUGACGAUUUGUGUAUAAAAAAGAGAAGUCAAAAAGUGAAGAUUCAGUCCCGCUGUUCUGGACUUGAGAUUCUGCACACGUUUCGUUCUCAUCCCUGAUUCCCACAAACAGGUCUGUGAAGUUCUUAUCCGGUUGGUGAAGAAGGAACAGCGGAGAUGAAUCCCGCAGCGCUCUCCAUUCUUCUUCUGUCUGCCGCGGCAUUGCUGGAGCUUCCACAGAUACAAUGUGACUCCGCUAUACUAAUGGACCUCGCUGAAGAGUCUCUCGAUGAUCAGUACAUCGGCUGUAGAAAUGAGAUGUUAAAAACAGUUCAGGAAACGCAUCUUCCGUCCGAAUUAAACAGAAACACGGAAUUUCAAACCGCAUGGAAAAGGGCUGAAAACGAAAUGGGACAAAGAAUCCAGUCGAAACUGAGUUCCGAGCAAGCCACAGCCAUCUAUGUGUACACCAUAAACGAUGUUUACAAAAAGUUCAAUCGCGCAGUGAGAACAGGAGGAAUGAAUUAUACCGAAUUCCCGUUCAAGGCGUGGCAUUUUCAUUUGACAGACGCCCUGAAGACACUGAAAUCCAUGAAGCCGAAAUGCUAUGAAGUGUUCAGAGGAGUGAAAAACGCCACGCAGGUUAUAGGGAACAUUGUACGAUUCGGACAGUUCACUUCAACCUCUGUAAACAAAACCGUAGCGGAGCGUUUUGGAACAGGAACGCUGUUCACAAUACGAACCUGCCUCGGAGUGUCCAUUAAAAAAUAUUCAGCGUACUCGAAUGAAAAGGAGGUCCUCAUCCCACCUUUUGAGAGAUUUAAAGUGAUGGAAGUCAAUGGGAAAGAAAUCCGACUGGAACAUAUUGAAGACCACACAAGUUAUUUCAACUGUCUGGGAGGGUAUGCUGAUAAACCCCAGAUGAGUCCCGCUGUGAUCGCUGGGAUAGUGAUCGCUGUGGUCCUGGCAGUCCUAUCGAUCACAGUGUAUCUGAAGAGAACGCGCUGUGCUUCAAUGGAAGCAGGACCGGAUGCAGCGUCGCCACCCCCUUCCGAAACCGUCGCACUGAACGAGAGGACCGCGGCUCGGACAGCCUGAGACACCGGCACGAAUAAAACCGACAGCGGACCCCGUGAAAACAACACGCCCGCAGAGCGGCACUGUCCCGGAGAGGAGAGGCGCGCCUUCACCCGGGACUGUAUAAAGAACGACAGGACAGUCAAUCCCGUGGUGCAGCGCGGUGCUCCCUUACAGGCGACAUUUCUGGAGCCCACUCAGCACUGAAUACAUUGCGGGGAUGCUGUGCUGCAGCGCCAGGAUAUAUCAGUAUACUUUUAAUAACAGGAUGAGACGUCAAACAAACGAGCUCCUAUUGGAAGUGACUCUGCAGCAGCCACUGACUCCCUGUGUGUGUGUGACCCUGAGCAAGUCACUGAACCUCCUUGUGCUCCGUCCUUCAGGAUGAGACAUCAAACAAACAAGCUCCUAUUGGAAGUGACUCUGCAGCAGCCACUGACUCCCUGUGUGUGUGUGACCCUGAGCAAGUCACUGAACCUCCUUGUGUUCCGUCCUUCAGGAUGAGACAUCAAACAAACAAGCUCCUAUUGGAAGUGACUCUGCAGCAGCCACUGACUCCCUGUGUGUGUGUGACCCUGAGCAAGUCACUGAACCUCCUUGUGCUCCGUCCUUCAGGAUGAGACGUCAAACAAACGAGCUCCUAUUGGAAGUGACUCUGCAGCAGCCACUGACUCCCUGUGUGUGUGUGUGACCCUGAGCAAGUCACUGAACCUCCUUGUGCUCCGUCCUUCAGGAUGAGACAUCAAACAAACAAGCUCCUAUUGGAAGUGACUCUGCAGCAGCCACUGACUCCCUGUGUGUGUGUGACCCUGAGCAAGUCACUGAACCUCCUUGUGCUCCGUCCUUCAAGAUGAGACGUCAAACAAACGAGCUCCUAUUGGAAGUGACUCUGCAGCACGCACUGGGAUGUGUUGUCCAUUUAGCUAACUGUGGGGCUGUUAUCAAAUGCUUAUUUAUAUUAAACUCCAAUACAAAAUAUAAAUGCCAGUAGACAUAUUUAAAAAAAAAAAAAAAACCGUUGUAGUUCCUAAGAUUUCCGCAAGGGGGCAGUGUGUCGCCAGAAACACGACAGUACGGUAAUUGAGGAAUGAUGAUACGUCAGCUUAUUUUAUUUAUUUAUUUUUUUAAAUUAACAUUAUUUAGCUCAAGUUAUUUCGGAGGGGGGGGGGUCUGUCUGUCCGUGCAUCCGUCUGUCUGUAUUACAAAAUCCAAUUGGGGAGACUGUUCCUAAUAAAGUGGCCAGGCAAGGUUUUUUCGAAGCGAUCUCUCCACAAAGACACAGAAUUCAUUUUGAAUGAUGCUUUAAAAGCAGUUUAUUUCAGUAAAGCAAAGCCGUGGAAACAGCGCGUACAGUGUGAAAAAAUAAUACAAUAUGUUAUAGACUAUUACUUUAAAAAACACAGUGAUCCUGUUAAUAAAGCUAAUAAGAGGUGAGAGAAUGGAUUUUAAAGAUGGUCAGCGCUCCUUUAAAGGGAGGGGCCGGUGAUCAUGUUAAUAAAGCUAAUAAGAGGUGAGAGAAUGGAUUUUAAAGAUGGUCAGCGCUCCUUUAAAGGGAGGGGCCGGUGAUCAUGUUAAUAAAGCUAAUAAGAGGUGAGAGAAUGGAUUUUAAAGAUGGUCAGCGCUCCUUUAAAGGGAGGGGCCGGUGAUCAUGUUAAUAAAGCUAAUAAGAGGUGAGAGAAUGGAUUUUAAAGAUGGUCAGCGCUCCUUCACAGGGAGGGUAUCCAUUCCAGACGUGGAAGCGGGGCUGCGUUGCCGUGGUGACUCGGGGUUGGUCUGGCGCUCACACCGCGGCUCUGUCUUUGAACCCGCAGAUGUAAGCUUUAUUGCCGCUGCAUUUGUCAUCGUUCCACUUGCCGGUGUCUGAGGAGAUGAAAACAGAAACAACA